AAAUCCGAGAUGGGAGGUGGGUGGGUGGGAAGAGGCUGAAGGUUGCGCGGAUUCCAGGAGCUCACCUGUUUCUCCCUCUGCAUCCUCCCUUCUGCCCCGCCCUGGACCGAAGAAGAACUGAGCAUUUUCAAAGUUCCCGAGGAGAGGUGGAUGCCGCGUCCCCUUCGCAGCGACGAGACUUCCCUGCCGUGUUUGUGACCCCCUCCUGCCCAGCAACCUGCCAGCUACAGGAGCCCCCUGCGUCCCAGAGACUCCCUCACCCAGGCAGGCUCCGUCGCGGAGUCGCUGAGUCCGUGCCCUUUUAGUUAGUUCUGCAGUCUAGUAUGGUCCCCAUUUGCCCUUCCACUCCACCCCACCCCACCCUAAACCAUGCGCUCCCAAUCUUCCUUCUUUUGCUUCUCGCCCACCUCUUCCCGCACCCAGCAUGCAGCUCUGCCUCCGCAGCCUCAGUGCGCUUUCCUGCGCGCACUGCGGAGGGCGCCCUAAGCGUCACCCAAGCACACUCACUUAAAGAAAAAACGAGUUCUUUCGUUCUGUGCGCAGCUAAAAGGGGCGCCCUACAUCUCCGUGCCACUCCCGCCCCAGCCUAGCCCCAAGACUUUGGAUCCGGGGCGAGAUGAAGGGAAGAGGGUUUUUUUGGUUUCGGACGCCCCUUGCUCUGACCGGAAGAGAAGUCCCUAUCCCACACCUGCCUGUCACGUUCCCUCCCCUUUCCCCAGCGCACUGUUGAGGGCAGCCUCUCCAGCUCUCUUGUUUAUGCAAACGCCGAGCGCCUGGGAGGCUCGGUAGGAGGAGUCUUCCACGGCCCCGCCCCGCCCCUGUCGGUCCCGC
rnacentral:lncRNA from 1 species